CUUAGUGGCGAACGGGUGCGUAACACGUGAGAAAUCUGCCCCGAACUUCGGAAUAACAGUUGGAAACGAUUGCUAAUACCGGAUGACGUCGGAGAACCGCAUGGUUCACUGACGAAAGAUAUUUCGGUUUGGGAGGGUCUCGCGGCCUAUCAGCUUGUUGGUGGGGUAAUGGCCUACCAAGGCAACGACGGGUAGCUGGUCUGAGAGGAUGAUCAGCCACACUGGGACUGAGACACGGCCCAGACUCC
rnacentral:rRNA from 1 species